GACGGUGAUUUGAGGGGAGCGACUGAGUGCAGCUGUGUCUGCUGAAAGGAGAAGGGGAGAGCCGGAGCAAUGGAGUGGAAAGAAUUGAAAAGGCUCGGCGGGGAGACAGCACAUACCUUUAAACCCCCCCUCCCCUCCUCCUCUUGGUGACCGCUCUGAGCCCUUCUCCUUGUGUCAACCAAUCAGCUCUCACCAUCCACUCGUACUGUUCAGGCGUCAACAGAGCCGAGACAAAGUGUCGGUGUAUUUGGAGUAAACAGUUCGGAAGAAUCGGUCGUCUGCCGGCGACAUUGUGGAAACGACCUGACAGCUGCAGCUCACACAACCAAAUAAGAUUACAGAACUACACAGCUUUGCAGGAGGCCCAUUCUCAUGCUGAGACACAAGCGGAGUGCACCAAAGCGGGUCGGAAGACGAGCAAGAUAAAAAAACCACUAAAGCCAACAUGCACAGUCCCAAACUACGAUUUGAACCCGGAAUAAUCUCAACUAUGAGGCAAACAUGAUGCCCUGGCUGUCCCAUUGUGAGGAUUGCCACAAACAAAGACGCCCAAGCUGAUGGAGCACUCACUUAACCCUUGCUGCAUUCUACUGACAUCUAGCGGGAGGAAAAGGAACUGCACUAACUGUGUGUGACCCAGGUGCGUGGUGAGUUCAGGCGGCCCGCUUGUUUGGUUCUGGGGCAGAAGACUACAGGUGUGAGAAGAUGUCAGCAUCAUCCUGACCCUCACCUCAAGCGGCGUACCAGCAGAUUGAACUCAAGCAGGCUGCUGGCGUUGUGGAUGCGCAGGGGCCCUUGCGAAAAACUAAUCUCCCGGUCCUCAAAGGAGAGAUCCGUGAGCGGCACCUCCAGCGCUCUGUCAGGGGGAAUGCGGCUGGAAGGUGAGGUGACGCAUUCCAAGAGGAUGAAGGAGUUGCGCAAGAGGAGAAGAUGCCGAGACGAUUCCUGAGGGAAGUGUGAAAGAUCCUCCUAACUACUUAUGUGCAGAAAUAUUGGUCAUCAGGAUAAAGAAUGCCUGGAAUAAAUCAUCCGACGUGCACGGCCGAUUUAAAUGUCAUCGGAUCGGCGGUAAAGUCACAAAGGCCUCCUCCGAGUCGCCGGGUUGCAAGUGGACCAAUAACCGGCCCCCUGCAGAGUGCCCUCCAUCUCACCUUGAUCAAUCCACGAAAUGGCCGUGAUUGCGGGAGAUACAACAGCACAUUAAGUUGAUUUAUCGAGGCAAUCUCUGGUUUCUCAUCCCACACGUUUUCCUGACAUCAAAUCGUCUUUUCAUUUCCCUGAGGCUUCUAUCAUUUUGCAAAAGUGCUUCUCUACAUAAGAUUUGUGCAGGAUGCUGCAAGGUGUGGGUGUCUAUCUUCUCUGAGGUGAGUCCUUGUUGUCAUAACAGCCGUUGCCAUGGUAAC